AGAGUUUGAUUAUGGCUCAGGAUGAACGCUAGCUACAGGCUUAACACAUGCAAGUCGAGGGGCAGCAGGGGACUAGCUUGCUAGUUCGCUGGCGACCGGCGCACGGGUGCGUAACACGUAUCCAAUCUACCCAUGGCUCAGGGAUAGCCUUUCGAAAGAAAGAUUAAUACCUGAUGGUCUGUCAGUGGGACAUCCCACGGGCAGUAAAGAUUUAUCGGCGAUGGAUGAGGAUGCGUCCGAUUAGGUAGUAGGCGGGGCAACGGCCCACCUAGCCGACGAUCGGUAGGGUUCUGAGAGGAAGGUCCCCCACACUGGAGCUGAGACACGGUCCAGACUCCUACGGGAGGCAGCAGUGAGGAAUAUUGGUCAAUGGUCGGGAGACUGAACCAGCCAAGUAGCCGUGAGGGAAGACGGCCCUACGGGUUGUAAACCUCUUUUGUAUGGGAAUAAAGUGCCGCACGCGUUGCGGUUUUGUAUGUACCUUACGAAUAAGCAUCGGCUAAUUCCGUGCCAGCAGCUGC
rnacentral:rRNA from 1 species